rnacentral:lncRNA from 1 species
GAUAUAUGAAUGUACUUUGACCUGAAACUAUUUGUUGGGUAAAGCUUUUUGCUUUUGAAGGAUAUGUGACCACCCUCCUCUCAAACUUGCCUGACAGGUUGUCUUCCAGAGGAGAGAGGGAGGAACUGGAUUAUCAGACAUUGAUGAUCCUGAUAGAGAGUCCUGCUUUCCUCAGAUCAACUGCUCAGAAGCUUCUAGAUGAUUGGAGAACACCACUGAGGAAGCAGGCCGAGGCAUUAAAUGAAGCGUGUGAACGAAGGAGAAGCAUCUUCUGGAAACAGAAUGGAUAGGAGGGCACUGCUGUGGGCUCAGGACUGGCUGCGUGCCUCCGCAGGACUCCUCUUGUCUGCAGAAACAGCCUUCCUUGACGAUUUAUAGUCUUUAUGAGAGAAUAAUUAUUUUGUGAAGACAAAUGUGGAUACAGGCUGAGUACAUUGGGUGCAAACUUCCUCACUGUUUCACAGUGGAGCCUGACAGCCAUGCGCUCUUUCUUAAGGGCAUAUUGGUGGUGUGUGAGCAGUUACUUCAAUUUAAGAGUCUGCUAUUAACAAACCUAAAGAACAUGAAGACCCGAGGAGUGACCCACCAGCUGUGAGACAAAUAGAGCCCUGGGGGUCAUCUUCCAUGGCCAGGUGCUUAAUUUUUUGUUAG